rnacentral:lncRNA from 1 species
ACUGUUUCUUUUCGGCGACUUCUUCACCCACGAGUUUGUCCAUAUCACCGUCCUGAAAACAUUGGUAAACCCAUUGUUCGAGAACAGCUUCAUCCUCUGGAAGACUCCAAUCCACAUUCUUUCGACAACAUGUGAUCUCCAACAACAUAACUCCAAAGCUAUAAACAUCUGCUUUAACUGUCACCGGCAUAUUCCUGUGCCAUUCUGGUGCUACAUAUCCCCUCGUCCCUCUAAUUCCGGUGAAGGUUUUAGUUUGGUCUGACUUCAGCAACUUUGCCAAUCCAAAGUCAGAAACUUUGGGGCACCUGCUUUCAUCUAUUAGUAUAUUCUGAGGUUUUAUAUCACAGUGGAUGAUCUGAGUCUCGCACUCUUCAUGUAGAUAAACAAUACCCCUUGCAAUGUUGCGAGCAAUUUCCAACCUUUCAGGGAAGCAAGGUCGUUUUUCAAGUGAGAAGAGUAUGUCAGCAAGGGAGCCAUUGCUCAUGUACUCGUAUACCAGGAGCCUGUGAUGUCCAUCAUGGCAAUAGCCGAGCAGACGGACUAGGUUUCUGUGAUGUGUUUUCCCAAUGACUUUCAUCUCAUUCUGAAAUUCUCUUUCCCCUUCAGCUAGAACUUUCUCCAGUCUCUUGACAGCAACAACCUUCUGAUUACUUGAUAUUAUCCCUUUAUAUACUGUCCCAAAUGAUCCCCUGCCAAUUUCUUCCUUGAAACCACCAGUAACAUUUUCUAGCUCUGCAUAAGUGAAAGCUCGAGGAGCAAAUUCCUCAUUCAAUCCUGUACUAUCAUUACUGGGCACCUUUUUAUAUGCCAAUACAUGAUAUCUGUAAAUGAUGAUUCCGCAAAUCGCCACCAUAGCUAGCCCAAAAGCAACAAAUGAACAACUUAUUAUUAGGAUUUUCCUGCCCGUGCCAAGGUUCUUCUCGGUUAUAGGCUCUUUUCUGUCCAUGGUGGAUAUGGGUCUGCCCACCUUGACGACAGCCAAGUUCGAACUUUCUAAGUUUCUCCUCCCAAAUCUCAAAGGAAGCCUUUGCUUUCUGCAGUACUGCCCAUCAGUGAAUAAUGCUGCUUCACAGUUACAGUCUUCCAAACAGGCUUGCUUACAAUUGUCUUUAGUUGUUGAUGACAAAACGGAGUAUGAAGCAUCUUCCCACUCAGUAUUAGACAGCUCUUCCAUGGUGUAUGUGCUACUUCCAUUCUUGUCUUUGCAACUUUCAGCAUUGAAAUCCCUCUCACAGCUAGAAGUCCAAUUUCCCUGGGUAACAAACUCAAAUCCAGGAAGACAAAUACAUUCAGCUUCCUGAUCCUUCAUAACACAAUAUCCAUUAAGACCGCAUGAUCCCUUGGGUUGACACUUAUUGCUUGUGGAAGACCACACAGCUGACCAGUUUCCAUUCCGUGUCAGAUUUUGUGAAUAUAAUCUUAAAAUCCCAUCAGCAUCAAGUUUCAUCAUAUUAAUUGUUUCUUUCGUGGGAUAUCCUCCAUCUGUAAUGUUGAAUAUGUUGAAACCUGUGGAAUUGAGCAGGUAGAGAUGGCCAUCCGGAUCAAGAUUUAGGGUCACAUUAUUUCCCUCCCUAUAAGUAGGAGUUGCAAAAUAAGCAUAUGGAGCUGUAUCUGGAGUAUUGACAGGAUACUGCACAAGGUUGCCAUCAUUUUGCAUCUUGAGUCGGUAAAUACCAGUUGAGAGUUCAGUUUGUGAAACAGGAGAAAACAGCUCUGCCCCUGCUUUGAGCUGUUGAGUUGGCAAAAGGGUAUCUGUUGGGUGGUCAAAACUCUGCCAUAUAAUCUCGCGAUCAGAAUUAUAUAGCACAAAGUUGCCUGAAUCAGACAUAGAAGCUAAAGAAGCUGGCUGGGAAGCAGAAACUAUCAAAGUCUCACCCCCUUGUGCUGAUGUCAGGACAAGCCUGCCAUCACUGGUGAAGAGCAAGGUCGAAUUACUGGGGACUGGGUCAUCAUCCCUUCUAGCAGCCCACACAACAGUCUUUAGUGAAAUCCCGGAUAGAAAAACCCCUAUAGAAUAGCCGUUGCGUUGUCGGAAAAAUCCAAAAGCAUAAAGACCGGAAGGCGACAACCAUGAGGAGUUUGUGAUAGGUGUUAGAGAAGAUCCUAGGGUUAUAUUGGUCUGUAUUUGAGCUGAAGCUGUAAAAGAUAAGGCGAGAAGAAGAAAAAAGAUGAUAGAAGCCAUGGAUAGGGAUUUAGCUCUUGUGUGGUAUAGGAGUGUCAAUAUAAAGAUGUCCAUUGUUCCAGCACUCCAGUCUCUUUCUUUGGUUUCCAGCAGUCAAGCCAGGCACUCAAAACAUAAAAGUCUAGCCAUAAAAUCCACCGCGUUCCCGUACCAAUUGGUGGAAAUCCUUGCUGUUACUUUUCUGCUUUCAAAGUCAAUGCAGUCAAGUCACUGAAAAAACUCGGGAAUUACUUGGCGCUGGUCCACUUUUUCCAUCAUACUAUCCCCCAUUUGAACAGCCAUUUGCUAAUUUCAGCAGGAUUAUUCUUAGUACUAGUUUUCCGCGGCAGAUUCUUUGUCAUUUGCCAUGUACCAUUCAAUACGCUUUGAAGACACAAUCUUUAGCUUCCUGCAGACAGGUUCAACUAGUUAAGAAAUAUCGAUUGUGGUGCCAAUGCUAAUACCCUGGCAUAAUACUAGGGCAAGACAGAACAGCUUGCUUGCUUAUACUAAUGUCCCUCAUAUGCUAAAGCCUAGCUAGCAACCUCAGUUUCUAACGAAAGAGCAUCUCUACAUGUUGCGUAACUAACAUACUCGUCGUGUUAUGGAUGUUUGAAGAUGGAUUUACUCUCAAUAUGUAAAUCCUAGCUAGGUAAAUAAAUAAUCCCUUGAUCAUUAAAACUGAAAAGUGGAACUCAUUGGACCGUUGAUUUUAUGAUCAAUUCCACUGUACGACUUUAUUCAGAGUACAAUUGAGGUGGUCACGGCAAGGACUGAGUCAAGGGACAACCUAGCAUUUGCUGACCUGCUCUUCUCAGCAAAAGCUUCUUCUCUCACCAGCUUCAUGCCAUGGUUGCUGAUUGGAGGGGGUUUAUAAUUUAUUUUUUACAAAUGUGCUAUGAAAAAGAAAAAAAAUGCUAUAAUAUUAAAAAAAACGAAUUUCCUCAUAGCUAUGAUAUUUAUAAUAUUAAUGAUGUUACACUUGUGAUGAAGAUGAUGGUGAUGUAAUGGUAAUGAUGAUUAAAGUGAUUGAAAAAUAUUAUUAGUAAUAUUUCACCAUGAGUUAAUAGUUUUAUGAUGGAAAAAAGUAUUUUUUUCUAUUUCGGAUAAUUAGAAAGAAAAAUAUUUUUCUAUUGAUAAUUUAUUAGUAUAUAUAUUUCAAAUGUUUAAGAUAUAUUUCAAAUAAAUGUACCUUAACUAUGAUAAAUGAUAUAUUCUCCGUUUGUUUGCAAUUUGAUUGUAAAGGAUUCCUUUUAACAUAAUUCUGCUUGAUAUACUCCAUGUAAUUACAAACUAAUUAGCUCAUUCUGGUCUUCUCACUUCUGGCAAUUAGCCAGUUUGAUGGCGACUUGCAACAAUGUACUGUCACCAACCGUUGUGUUGGACUUCGAUUCACCAAUAAUGCCCUGCAACUGAGCUUGAGCGAAGGAAUGGACAUUUGCAUUUUAGGCAAGGAAUUGCCUUGUAGAAUAGAAGAAGAAGAAGAAGGGGAAAAAACAAGCAAAGAUCCUUGUCUCAUUAAUUCUACUCUUCGUAAAGAGCACGUUGUUUAUACUUAAGAACACAUGAAGCUUUCAUGCUAACAUUUUCUUUUCUCCUCUUUAUAUAAUUAUAUACUUUUUUUUUUUUUUUUAAUAUCUAAGAUACUGUGGGAAACAACUUUACAGGCAUUAACACUAGAAGAAAAAUCAACAGGAAGCUCCUAAAUGCUGCGUAAACAUAUAGCAAUUUUAUAAAGAAAAGGAAUACAUGACCUGAAAAAUAAAAUACAGUACUGUGCAGAUGAAUCUCUUAUUCUGAACCACAAAACGCAGCUUUAUAUAGCAGUAAUAAAAGAAGUAGGACUUGGAGGGAUUGGGAUUUCGACUGUCCCCUCCAACAUCAGGAGGACCUUUUUCAUUGAAGGGCGGAGGGAUGGCUCAUCAAGAGUGCACCAAAUUCCCACUUUAACCAUCCUAUCUAACUGUUUCUUUUCGGCGACUUCUUCACCCACGAGUUUGUCCAUAUCACCGUCCUGAAAACAUUGGUAAACCCAUUGUUCGAGAACAGCUUCAUCCUCUGGAAGACUCCAAUCCACAUUCUUUCGACAACAUGUUAUCUCCAACAACAUAACUCCAAAGCUAUAAACAUCUGCUUUAACUGUCACCGGCAUAUUCCGGUGCCAUUCUGGUGCUACAUAUCCCCUCGUCCCUCUAAUUCCUGUGAAGGUUUUAGUUUGGUCUGACUUCAGCAACUUUGCCAAUCCAAAGUCAGAAACUUUGGGGCACCUGCUUUCAUCUAUUAGUAUAUUCUGAGGUUUUAUAUCACAGUGGAUGAUCUGAGUCUCGCACUCUUCAUGUAGAUAAACAAUACCCCUUGCAAUGUUGCGAGCAAUUUCCAACCUUUCAGGGAAGCAAGGUCGUUUUUCAAGUGAGAAGAGUAUGUCAGCGAGGGAGCCAUUGCUCAUGUACUCGUAUACCAGGAGCCUGUGAUGUCCAUCAUGGCAAUAGCCGAGGAGACGGACUAG